UAUAGCUCAGUGGCACAGUGCCUGCCUGGCAAGCACGAAGUCCUAGAUUUGAUUUCUGGUA
rnacentral:tRNA from 1 species